GAUGAACGCUGGCGGCGUGCCUAAUACAUGCAAGUCGAGCGAACAGACGAGGAGCUUGCUCCUUUGACGUUAGCGGCGGACGGGUGAGUAACACGUGGGUAACCUACCUAUAAGACUGGGAUAACUUCGGGAAACCGGAGCUAAUACCGGAUAAUAUUUCGAACCGCAUGGUUCGAUAGUGAAAGAUGGCUUUGCUAUCACUUAUAGAUGGACCUGCGCCGUAUUAGCUAGUUGGUAAGGUAACGGCUUACCAAGGCAACGAUACGUAGCCGACCUGAGAGGGUGAUCGGCCACACUGGAACUGAGACACGGUCCAGACUCCUACGGGAGGCAGCAGUAGGGAAUCUGCCGCAAUGGGCGAAAGCCUGACGGAGCAACGCCGCGUGAGUGAUGAAGGUCUUCGGAUCUUAAAACUCUGUUAUUAGGGAAGAACAAACGUGUAAGUAACUGUGCACGUCUUGACGGUACCUUAUCAGAAAGCCACGGCUAACUACGUG
rnacentral:rRNA from 1 species